rnacentral:rRNA from 1 species
AGUGAACGCUGGCGGCAGGCCUAAUACAUGCAAGUCGAACGGCAGCACAGCAGAGCUUGCUCUGUGGGUGGCGAGUGGCGGACGGGUGAGGAAUACGUGGGAAUCUGCCCAGUCGUGGGGGAUAACGUAGGGAAACUUACGCUAAUACCGCAUGCGCCCUUCGGGGAAAGCCGGGGACCUUCGGGCCUGGCGCGAUUGGAUGAGCCCACGUCGGAUUAGCUAGUUGGCGGGGUAAAGGCCCACCAAGGCGACGAUCCGUAGCUGGUCUGAGAGGAUGAUCAGCCACACUGGAACUGAGACACGGUCCAGACUCCUACGGGAGGCAGCAGUAGGGAAUAUUGGACAAAUGGGGCGCAAGCCUGAUCCAGCCAUGCCGCGUGAGUGAAGAAGGCCCUCGGGUUGUAAAG